CUCGGCCUCGCCGAGCUCCCCCAGCCCGGACGCAGCGGCCCCGCCCGCUCCCCGCUGGGCAGCCCCGGGGGCCUCCGGCCGCCCCGCAGCCCGCCCGCUGGCCCCUCAGACGCCGGCUUCCGCACCUAACUUCCCUGGAACCGGGCGCGGGGUCCGGCAGAAAUCGCCCCCCGAGGAGGAAGCCCCUCUGUUCCCAAGCUUUCUCGACUUCCAGCAGAGACUUGUCCGCUGGUUCCUCGGCAAGCCACGGCGGCUCAGCCCCACGCGGAAGGGCGGCUGGAAAGGCGGGCCGAGCGAACACCCGACAGUAGUUUCCUUCACGUGGCGAACACCCACGGCCACGGCCGUCACCCCAUGCCCGGGCCUUGCCGCCCCACUGAAAGCAGAGUGAGUCAUUUCAUCCUUAAGACGCUCCGAACCCGGCCAAAAUGAUUGCUCUCAUUCUUGACGGACCGCGGUCUUGGGCACUCCUGGGUGAGCAGACUGAGAAAUACCCACGAGGACUGCGAGGUCCUGGCCCACCCACGUGAGGCCUCGAGACACAGCCAAAGUCUCUCCCACCCCAGUAGGCAGGGAUCUCCGAAGUCUUUUUCGGCAACCAGGAUGCCUAGAUUCGCAGAGGGGAGCAAAGGGCUCAGGUUGCCCUGGACCUCUAAGGGCAGUUCUCCAGCUCUCCUCUGAGCAGACAAGGUUAAAGACCUGCAACCCACGGUCCGGCGUUAAUCAGCCUCCGCAUACCCUUCCCACAAGGCUGAUCACCUUGCUAAACACCAGAGUACGUAAGAAACUAUUGCCGGCCUCAUUAUUCUACACUUGGUAAAACAGAAAGCUCUUCACAAAUGUCAGAAAUUCUAAGUAACAAUAAAUAACAUUCACUUUUGUGUUAAACUUA